rnacentral:rRNA from 1 species
CGCCGCCGCGGGAAUACAGAGGGUGCGAGCGUUAAUCGGAUUUACUGGGCGUAAAGCGUGCGUAGGCGGCUUCUUAAGUCGGAUGUGAAAUCCCUGAGCUUAACUUAGGAAUUGCAUUCGAUACUGGGAAGCUAGAGUAUGGGAGAGGAUGGUAGAAUUCCAGGUGUAGCGGUGAAAUGCGUAGAGAUCUGGAGGAAUACCGAUGGCGAAGGCAGCCAUCUGGCCUAAUACUGACGCUGAGGUACGAAAGCAUGGGGAGCAAACAGGAUUAGAUACCCGCGUAGUCCCUGUCUCUUAUACA